AUAAUUAAGCGGUGGAAAAGAAACCAAAAGGGAUUUCCUUAGUAACGGCGAGCGAAAAGGAAAUUGUCCAGCGCCAAGUCUUGACACAUUAAAGUGUUCAAGAGAUGCGGCGUUAAUGUGUUGGUGUAUCGUACAUUGUUUCAUGUUUCAAGUUCCUUUGACAGGGACACCCAGAGCGGGUGCUAGGCCCAUAGAGACAAGAAACCAGUGUAUGCCGGCCAAUGCAUUCUAGAGUCAGGUUGCUUGAGAGUGCAGCUUAAAGUCGGUGGUAAACUCCAUCUAAGACUAAAUAUGACAGCGAGACCGAUAGCAAACAAGUACCGUGAGGGAAAGUUGCAAAGCACUUUGAAGAGAGAGUUCAACAGUACGUGAAACCACUGGGAGGCAAACAGAUGGAACCACGAAAUGUGCGCCUCGGUCGAUUCAAUCAAGGCUAUCGGUUGGCUGUACUUGGGAUUGGGAUCUYUUCGGAGAUAUUAUUAACCAUGUACCGUUUGGAAUCCGAUGGCAUUGAUGCAUUUCGUAUCGAGGACGUGUUAAGCCACGUUCGAUUAGAAAGUUGGGACGGCCGUAUGGGAAAGGAUUCAAGAAAGGUUACUGUCUCGGUGUAUUUUUUUUUAUACAUUGAUAGUGUUUAUAGUCUUGAAUCGGUACCGUCACCUAACAAACUGAUCGAUAUAAUUUCUCCGUUGGGAGUUUUGAAACUAUGCUGGCCUAYGAUUUCUAGCUGAUAAUGAGGAAUGUUCUUUACGUCAUCUUCGGAUGUGAAGAGAUGCAUACCAACUAAUAUUAUCACCUAGUUAUUGUUUGCCAUAGCAUAGAUGAUGAUGUAAAACUGUGGUGAGAGUAGGUCGGUUUCCAUUUGACCCGUCUUGAAACACGGACCAAGGAGCCUAUCAUAUACGCAAGUCGYUCGGUCUUGUUUAGGCCUGGGAGGCAUAAUGAAAGUAAAAAACCAUGAUACUAUGUGUUUAGAACAUGGUUGCAGUGGUGGCKGGCUUACUUUGUUUAUUAAUGGCAAUAUAGCCAAGCUGGAGCGUAUACGAUGGUACCCGAAAGAUGGUGAACUAUGCCUGGGCAAGACGAAGCCAGAGGAAACUCUGGUGGAGGUCUGUAGCGAUUCUGACGUGCAAAUCGAUCGUCAGACCUGGGUAUAGGGGCGAAAGACUAAUCGAACCAUCUAGUAGCUGGUUCCCUCCGAAGUUUCCCUCAGGAUAGCAGGCGCUUAUUUAUAGAUCAGUCUCAUCCGGUAAAGCUAAUGAUUAGAGGCCUUGGGGUUGAAACGACCUCAACCUAUUCUCAAACUUUAAAUGGGUGAGAUGGUUGACUUUCUUGAUUGAAGCCAACCAUUUGGAUGCAAGUGCCUAGUGGGCCAUUUUUGGUAAGCAGAACUGGCGCUGUGGGAUGAACCAAACGUCGAGAUAAGGCAUCAAAUGCGUACGCUCAUCAGACCCCAUGAAAGGUGUUGGUUGCUAUAGACAGCAGGACGGUGGCCAUGGAAGUCGGAAUCCGCUAAGGAGUGUGUAACAACUCACCUGCCGAAGCAACUAGCCCUGAAAAUGGACGAUGCUGUAGCGUGGAGCCGAUACUCGACCGUGAUGGCAAUUAUGUGUUGAAAAAUUCGAUGUUGUCACGAGUAGGAGGGCCGCAUUGAUAGCGUUGAAGGUGUCAGACGUGAGUCUGCCUGGAGCUGUCAUUGUUGCAGAUCUUGGUGGUAGUAGCAAAUACUCAAGUGAGAAUCUUGAGGACUAACGUGGAGAAGGGUUCCAUGUGAACAGCAGUUGGACAUGGUUCAGUCGGUCCUAAGGAAUCGGAGAAAUCCGUUUGAAAGCAGUUCGAUUAUAUAUAUAUAUAUGGUAAAAAUGAUACCGAACUGAUUAUCCGAAAGGGAAUCGGGUUAAUAUUCCCGAACUGAGACAUGGAGGAUGUGCUUUCGGGCACUAAUGCGGUAACGCAAUCAAAAUCGGAGACAUUGGCGAUAGUCCUGGGAAGAGUUGUCUUUUCUCUAUAAGAUAUGGAAUCCAUGAAAACAGCUUGUCUGGAGAUAUGGAUGUUGAUAUCGAAGAGCUCAGCGGUUCUUGCUGAGUCCGGUGCGCUAUUGUCGAUCCUUGAAAAUCCGAUGGCGAGAUGUUUACCUCUGUGCUCAGCCGUACCAAUAUCCGCAGCAGGUCUCCAAGGUUAACAGCCUCUAGUUUCUAGAAUAAUGUAGGUAAGGGAAGUCGGCAAAACUGAUCCGUAACUUCGGGAUAAGGAUUGGCUCUGAAGGAUGGGUCAUUCGGGCUGUGGUAGAAAACGGGUGAUGCGCUUAGCUAAGACUGGACACUGGCAACGGUGAUCGGACUUGUGCUGACGUCUGCCUGCGGACGAUCAUGGCUACGUUCCUGUGCCCUGUGUGCAUGGGAUAUCGUUUCGGGUGACAUUAAACAUCCUACUCAGAACUGGCACGGACCCAGGGAAUCCGACUGUCUAAUUAAAACAAAGCAUUGCGAUGGCCGGAGAU
rnacentral:rRNA from 1 species